GAGAUUUUAAAAUCCGCGACGGGUGCUUCUUGCGGUUUUAUGCGGAAAUUAAUUCCUGGUGUUUAAUUAGGAACCUACAGUAAUUUAUCAUGAGUAUUGUUAUGUUAUUUAGAAGCUUAUUUACCUUGUGAUUCUUUGUUUGUUAUAAAACUCACUAAAAUGAAGUGGAAUUUGAUGCAUGUGGCUUGUGUAAGAUUUACAUGGUAGAAGUUUUAUGUUCAUGAAUCAGAAUCCUUUUUAAUGUUAGAGGUAUUCAUUAUUUGGUUGUUUUAUAAACACUCUGUCAGGUGCAAUAAACUCCUCCAACCAAUC
rnacentral:misc_RNA from 1 species